UACAGAGGGGGCAAGCGUUGUUCGGAAUUACUGGGCGUAAAGGGCGCGUAGGCGGCCUUCUAAGUCGAACGUGAAAUCCCCGGGCUCAACCCGGGAACUGCGUCCGAUACUGGAAGGCUUGAAUCCGGGAGAGGGAUGUGGAAUUCCAGGUGUAGCGGUGAAAUGCGUAGAUAUCUGGAGGAACACCGGUGGCGAAGGCGACAUCCUGGACCGGUAUUGACGCUGAGGCGCGAAAGCCAGGGAGCAACGGG
rnacentral:rRNA from 1 species